GAUGAACGCUGGCGGCGUGCCUAAUACAUGCAAGUCGAGCGAACGGACAAGAAGCUUGCUUUUCUGAUGUUAGCGGCGGACGGGUGAGUAACACGUGGAUAACCUACCUAUAAGACUGGGAUAACUUCGGGAAACCGGAGCUAAUACCGGAUAAUAUUUUGAACCGCAUGGUUCAAAAGUGAAAGACGGUCUUGCUGUCACUUCUAGAUGGAUCCGCGCUGCAUUAGCUAGUUGGUAAGGUAACGGCUUACCAAGGCAAGGAUGCAUAGCCGACCUGAGAGGGUGAUCGGCCACACGGGAAGUGAGACACGCUCCAGACGCCUACGGGAGGCAGCAGUAGGGAAUCUUCCGCAAUGGGCGAAAGCCUGACGGAGCAACGCCGCGUGAGUGAUGAAGGUCUUCGGAUCGUAAAACUCUGUUAUUAGGGAAGAACAUAUGUGUAAGUAACUGUGCACAUCUUGACGGUACCUGAUCAGAAAGCCACGGCUAACUACGUG
rnacentral:rRNA from 1 species